rnacentral:rRNA from 1 species
CCUACGGGAGGCAGCAGUGAGGAAUAUUGGUCAAUGGACGAAAGUCUGAACCAGCCAUGCAGCGUGAAGGAUGACGGCCCUAUGAGUUGUAAACUCCUUUUGUAAAGGAGUAAAUCCAGGCACGUGUGCCGUUUUGAAAGUACCUUACGAAUAAGGAUCGGCUAACGCCGUGCCAGCAGCCGCGGUAAUACGGAGGAUCCAAGCGUUAUCCGGAUUUAUUGGGUUUAAAGGGUGCGUAGCUGGGUUGAUAAGUUAGAUGUGAAAGACUGGGGCUCAACCCUGGCAUUGCACCUGAUACUGUCGGGCUAGAGUUUAGUUGAGGUAGGCGGAAUGUAUGGUGUAGCGGUGAAAUGCAUAGAGAUCAUACAGAACACCGAUUGCGAAGGCAGCUUACUAAACUAUGACUGACGUUGAGGCACGAAAGUGUGGGGAGCAAACAGGAUUAGAUACCCUGGUAGUC